rnacentral:lncRNA from 1 species
CUUGUCCUGCAACACUGAUCAAUUAAGGUAAAGCAUUCUAAUACACUUAUCAUCUCAUGCUCAUCUUCACUUAGGUUGUCAUCGCAGCCGAAAUUAUCAAAUAAACAUGCUUCACAAUAAUUAAGUCUCAUUAAAAUACCUUAUUAGAAUUAAAACAAUGUGACAAAAGUCUCCAUUAUAACAUAAUCUCAAACGUCAAGAGUAUAACAUACAACUCUCGAUUAGCAAAAACACAAACUAAAUAAA